CGGAUAGAGCCAACGUAUCUGGCUUGUAUUCAGCUGUCAUCAGGGUUCUGACUUGUCUGGCAAUCCCGCUUCUGGUUGUCCAUGGCGAGUUGUUGGGCUCUGGUGGUAGUGCAUUUGCAAGUGGAGUGCGCUGAGGUGUGUGGUGUAGCGAUUCGAUCUUCGCCUUGAGGACACUUGACUGUGAACCCCGGGCGUUGGGAAAAUUGUCUAUGCUGCAUUCCCGCCAAUGGGGAGGCGCUUGUGGAUUGGAGCUUGAUCGCGGGGAUUGCUUGUAACGGUCGCAUGCGACGCGUGCUCGUUGUCUUCGCGUUUGAGUGAGAUCCCCUCUCCGGUGAUCUCGGUGUAAAAGUUGGUCAUCUAUCCGACCCGUCUUGAAACACGGACCAAGGAGUUUAGCGUAUGCGCGAGUCAUUGAGUGUUGAAACUCAAAGGCGUAAUGAAAGUGAAUCGAAAGUGAUAUGCGAUCCCUUGCACUUCGGUGGUUGGGAGCAGCAUAGCCCCGUUCCAAUCGCUUGCGAUGGGGCGGAGGUAGAGCGUAUUCGCUGAG
rnacentral:rRNA from 1 species